rnacentral:lncRNA from 1 species
AACCCAUUGAAUUCUCAUUUCUAAUGGGCUUUUGUAUAUGUAUUUGACAGCCCAAACAUCGGUGACAUGAUAAUCACUUCCCUUUCUUCUUCUUCUUCUUCAUACUCCUCUUUUUUUUUUCUUUUUUUUUUGUCUUAUUUUAUCUCAAGGCAAAAACUCAUUUUUAGUCCCUAUAACUUACUAUUUUUAUCACUAAGGUGCUUGCAGUUUCAAUUUUAUCAAUUUUAUCACUGUAGUUUGAAUUCCAGGCAAUUCAAGGACAAUCCUCAAUUUAUGUCAUAGUACUCUAAUAUGGAUGGCAUUUCGAUCCAAUCUUACAGUCCACACCAUAGGCACCUGUUGAAACCCAAAAAGUCACUAGAAACCCAAAGGCAUUUAAAGCCCAAUAUAAC